rnacentral:rRNA from 1 species
UACAUAGGGGUCAAGCGUUGUCCGGAUUUAUUGGGCGUAAAGCGUUUGUAGGCGGCUAAGUAAGUCAGGCGUGCAAGCCCGUGGCUCAACCACGGAAUUGCGUUUGAUACUGUUUAGCUUGAGUGCAGGAGAGGAAAGCGGAAUUCCCAGUGUAGCGGUGAAAUGCAUUGAUAUUGGGAGGAACAUCUGUGGCGAAGGCGGCUUUCUGGUCUGUUACUGACGCUGAGAUACGAAAGCCAGGGUAGCGAACGGG